GUUAUCACUGCUGUGUUGGAUCUAGUGCUCAGUGUUUCCUCCUCUGGAUCCUGGGGCCUUUCCCUAGUGACCUCCUGGAUUUCCAGCUUGUGGUUUGGUUCAUUGGUUGUGUAAGCUAAGUAGGAGAGCUCUCCCAAUCUUAGAAUGCGUGUCCAUGGACUGAGCCUCAAGGUUUAGAAAACAAAAGAAUGAAAUGCCUAUGUGAUAUGCCACUGAGAUACAGGAAAGCCGAGUGACAUAUUGGAAAGCAAGUGGGUAGAAAUCAGAAGUCUCCAGAUCUGAGAUGGGUUCAUUGAUUUGUUCUACCAGCAUCAUGGGGAAGAAAUACUGGCCUCCAUCAUUUCAUCCGUAAGGGGUAAAAUGACAAGUCUGUAGAUUAAUAGUUACGCAUGCCUUACCUAUCUUCCAGGGGUUUGGUGGGAAAUGAGUGAUGCGGUAUGUAUGGUCUUAGAAGCCAUAAAGAUCUCUAAAGAUGUUGGGCGUGAUGACUCAGAGACAGUCCUUCGGGUCAGCUCCUGAUGCUCUUUUUGUCCUUGGUCCCCUCCCUCAAAUCAGGAAUCAUCCCUUCUUUCUUUUGUCAAACCAUGAGCUGUAAGAGUAUCCUUGCGGAAAGGCUGUUGGAGCUCCUUUGGCCAGUACUAUCUUUCUUAUAGGUUUCUGCCACAAUUAUAGUACUUCUUGGGAGCCUAUUUUCACAGAAAUAAUUCCAGAGGUGUUUGUGUUGGAUUGGCCCUGACCCCAGAGUACAGUAGUAGCUGGUUCUGACAAAUGGAAAAGACCUUUAAUCUGCAAAUGAAAAGUCUAAAACUGGUCCCUGGCUGCUCCCCCUACUCUGGUGGUCUCUUCUGGGAAUGGGCCCACUUUUUAGUUGAAAUGUAACAUUUUGAGCUCCUCUACAGAAUAAGCAAUAGCUGAACUGUGCAGUUGCUAAGGAAUUGGAGGAUCGCUCCUACUGUUUUGAAGGCUCACAUGUCUGAAUUCUGCAAGGGACUUGGUACUCUGUGAAAUCUCCCUUAUCCUGGGAGAAGAGAACCCCUUUCUACCUCUCUCUGCC
rnacentral:lncRNA from 1 species